AGCGGCGGCCUUACCAUGCAAGUCGAGCGGUAAGGCCCUUCGGGGUACACGAGCGGCGAACGGGUGAGUAACACGUGAGCAACCUGCCCCUGACUCCGGGAUAAGCGGUGGAAACGCCGUCUAAUACCGGAUACGACCCCCCACCUCAUGGUGGAGGGUGGAAAGUUUUUCGGUCAGGGAUGGGCUCGCGGCCUAUCAGCUUGUUGGUGGGGUAACGGCCUACCAAGGCGAUUACGGGUAGCCGGCCUGAGAGGGCGACCGGCCACACUGGGACUGAGACACGGCCCAGACUCCUGCGGGAGGCAGCAGUGGGGAAUAUUGCGCAAUGGGCGAAAGCCUGACGCAGCGACGCCGCGUGGGGGAUGACGGCCUUCGGGUUGUAAACCUCUUUUACCACCAACGCAGGCUCCGGGUUCUCCCGGGGUUGACGGUAGGUGGGGAAUAAGGACCGGCUAACUACGUGCCAGCAGCCGCGGUAAUACGUAGGGUCCGAGCGUUGUCCGGAAUUAUUGGGCGUAAAGAGCUCGUAGGCGGCGUGUCGCGUCUGCUGUGAAAGACCGGGGCUUAACUCCGGUUCUGCAGUGGAUACGGGCAUGCUAGAGGUAGGUAGGGGAGACUGGAAUUCCUGGUGUAGCGGUGAAAUGCGCAGAUAUCAGGAGGAACACCGGUGGCGAAGGCGGGUCUCUGGGCCUUACCUGACGCUGAGGAGCGAAAGCAUGGGGAGCGAACAGGAUUAGAUACCCUGGUAGUCCAUGCCGUAAACGUUGGGCGCUAGGUGUGGGGACUUUCCACGGUUUCCGCGCCGUAGCUAACGCAUUAAGCGCCCCGCCUGGGGAGUACGGCCGCAAGGCUAAAACUCAAAGGAAUUGACGGGGGCCCGCACAAGCGGCGGAGCAUGUUGCUUAAUUCGACGCAACGCGAAGAACCUUACCAAGGUUUGACAUCACCCGUGGACCUGCAGAGAUGUGGGGUCAUUUAGUUGGUGGGUGACAGGUGGUGCAUGGCUGUCGUCAGCUCGUGUCGUGAGAUGUUGGGUUAGUCCCGCAACGAGCGCAACCCUUGUUCCAUGUUGCCAGCACGUAAUGGNGGGGACUCAUGGGAAAACUGCCGGGGUCAACUCGGAAGAAGNUGGGGACGACGUNAAGUCAUCAUGCCCCUUUUNCUUGGGCUGCAACAUGCUNNAUGGCCGGUCAAGGGCGUGCAAACCCGGAGGGGGAACGAAUCCCUAAAAGCCGGUUCAGUUCGGAUUGGGGGCCUUAANNCGACCCCUGAAGGGG
rnacentral:rRNA from 1 species